AUUGAACGCUGGCGGCAGGCCUAACACAUGCAAGUCGAACGAGUGGCGGACGGGUGAGUAAUGUCUGGGAAACUGCCUGAUGGAGGGGGAUAACUACUGGAAACGGUAGCUAAUACCGCAUACCAUCGGAUGUGCCCAGAUGGGAUUGGCUAGUAGGUGGGGUAAAGGCGCACCUAGGCGACGAUCCCUAGCUGGUCUGAGAGGAUGACCAGCCACCCGGGAAUGGAGACACGGUCCAGACUCCUACGGGAGGCAGCAGUGGGGAAUAUUGCACAAUGGGCGCAAGCCUGAUGCAGCCAUGCCGCGUGUAUGAAGAAGGCCUUCGGGUUGUAAAGUACUUUCAGCGAGGAGGCGUUACUCGCAGAGGAAGCACCGGCUAACUCCGUGCCAGCCGCCGCGGUAAUAC
rnacentral:rRNA from 1 species